GUUGCUACUUUGGGUAAUGUGAUGUGGUUUAACCCUAGAUCUCUUUGCUCCCCCUUGUGAUCUGAAUAUCAUUUCAUUGAUCGUAGUGCUUUGUGAUAUGGGUUAUGACGAUGCAUGAUUUAGAUCUCCAAAAUUGCUGAUUGUUUGAAAUCAAAGAUCCAAUAGUACUAGGUGAUUCAAUGUUUGUGGGUAUAUAGGGUUUGGUAAACUUAUUAUGAUAGUAGAGUUGUUACUAGCAACAAUUAAGUUCAACAACUCUUGAUUAUGGUAGAUUGGAG
rnacentral:misc_RNA from 1 species